rnacentral:lncRNA from 1 species
AUGCAUGAGCAGCAAAUGUGAUUUCUUCCUCUUUUCUCCUUCCAGUCAAUGCCACUUUCACUCUUGAGCUGAAGGGACUUACAACAUCAGUUAAUUCUGUUUUUAAAAUCAGCAGUCCUCUGAUCUGAAAAUUUGGUGAACUGAGCGUACCUCAUGAAACAGACCUUUCCGUGGGAUUCCAAAUUCUGCUUUUAUUAUUUCUUCCCGAGCCCCUGCGCUGCCGCAGAGCAGUAAGAGUGCCCGGCGCCGGGAGCGCGUCUGUAUUGCAGCAGGUAGGGCUGAGCGCUAGGACCUCGGAGAAUCCUUCCAGCAGCAAUCAGGACUACCUUAAACCCAGCCCAAUGCCUCUUCCUGCGCCACUCUGCGUGCUGGAUGGAGAUCCACAGUCAAGAGCUGCAGCUCAGUGCUGGAGUACAACAUUUCACAGGGAGCCCUGCAGAAGCAACACCUGUUUCGAGCCAGCCAAGAAAGGCACAAGCACUUGUAUGUUGCUGCUUUGCUUGUGGAUCGGCAAUAACCCUAAACCAGUGGACAUCUGCUGAGCCUCCUGAGAAUUCUGGAUAAUAGAUUUGGACGUCAAAAGUUUUAUUUUUUAAUUUUUUUGUGCCUUUUGCCUUUUUUUCCUUUCCAUUUUUUUUUUUUUUUGGAUUUAUCUCAGCCAACAACGUGAGAUUUCCCCCCUCCCCCUUUGCAGGAUUCAUGCUGAUGUAUGCAGUCUGUUAUAGAGUAAAAACAGCGCAUGCCUUUCUGGAGUCAGAAUCCAUAAAUCCUGACGUAGCCUGUGCAUCUUAAAAAAAAAAAUCCCUAUAACGCCUAGGUAUUUAAGUUGCUAUGGUCAUUCUUAUCUUAAACCAAAUGGAGAAACUACGGAUUUUUUUCUUUAUUACAGUUGGAUGGGCUGAAGACCUUAUUGCUUGCUAAGAGCUGGGGAUAUAUGCAUUUAUAUAGAUAUACACAUCUAUAUGUUUAUAAAUAUGUCAGUGUGUGAGUAUAAAGUGGUGGUUUCUUAGACUAACUGGUUUGACCUUGAACCUGUACCAGUCAAAACAGAAUAUUACUUUUAUUUAUGCAUUUAAUGGAUUGAAGAAAGAACAUUUUCUCUGUAACUGCGCUAGGGAGGGGAGAGGAGUGGAAUAUACCUAAUCUUAUAUCUCCUGGGUUUGGCACCAUCAUUAUUGUUUAUUCUUAUUC